rnacentral:rRNA from 1 species
UACGUAGGGUGCAAGCGUUAAUCGGAAUUACUGGGCGUAAAGUGUGCGCAGGCGGUCUUGUAAGUCUGUCGUGAAAUCCCCGGGCUCAACCUGGGAAUUGCGAUGGAGACUGCAGGGCUAGAAUCUGGCAGAGGGGGGUAGAAUUCCACGUGUAGCAGUGAAAUGCGUAGAGAUGUGGAGGAACACCGAUGGCGAAGGCAGCCCCCUGGGUCAAGAUUGACGCUCAUGCACGAAAGCGUGGGGAGCAAACAGG